rnacentral:rRNA from 1 species
AUUGAACGCUGGCGGCACGCCUAACACAUGCAAGUCGAACGAGUGGCGGACGGGUGAGUAAUGUCUGGGAAACUGCCUGAUGGAGGGGGAUAACUACUGGAAACGGUAGCUAAUACCGCAUACCAUCGGAUGUGCCCAGAUGGGAUUAGCUAGUAGGUGGGGUAAAGGCUCACCUGGGCGACGAUCCCUAGCUGGUCUGAGAGGAUGACGGGCGACACUGGAACUGAGACACGGUCCAGGCUCCUACGGGGGGCAGCAGUGGGGAAUGUUGCACAAGGGGCGCAAGCCUGAUGCAGCCAUGCCGCGUGAAUGGAAAAGGCCUUCAGGUUGUAAAGUACUUUCGGCGGGGAGGCGUUACCCGCAGAAGAUGCACCGGCUAACUCCGUGCCAGCAGCCGCGGUAAUAC